rnacentral:rRNA from 1 species
GACGAACGCUGGCGGCGUGCUUAACACAUGCAAGUCGAACGGAAAGGCCCUGCUUGCAGGGCACUCGAGUGGCGAACGGGUGAGUAACACGUGGGUGAUCUGCCCUGCACUUCGGGAUAAGCCUGGGAAACUGGGUCUAAUACCGGAUAGGAGCCAUUUUUAGUGUGAUGGUUGGAAAGUUUUUUCGGUGUAGGAUGAGCUCGCGGCCUAUCAGCUUGUUGGUGGGGUAAUGGCCUACCAAGGCGGCGACGGGUAGCCGGCCUGAGAGGGUGGACGGCCACAUUGGGACUGAGAUACGGCCCAGACUCCUACGGGAAGCAGCAGUGGGGAAUAUUGCACAAUGGGCGCAAGCCUGAUGCAGCGACGCCGCGUGGGGGAUGACGGCCUUCGGGUUGUAAACUCCUUUCGCUAGGGACGAAGCUUUUUGUGACGGUACCUAGAUAAGAAGCACCGGCUAACUACGUG